CAAAGAACUUUGAAGAGAGAGUUCAAUAGGACGUGAAACCGUACAGAGAAUAAACGUGCAAGUUAAAACGUUGACGCAGAUUCAUCAGUACUUCGUACUGUGCAUUUUUGUGUCGUGACAGCCCCCGAGUGGAGUUCACUGAUGCCUGGUGUCGAGGGCUGCUUCGGCAGUGUCCUGCACCUUGUGGAUUGAACGAAGUUCGGUGUACUGACACCAAUUUCACUUGCGAUUGUGUGGCUGCUAGCUUUAUCCCGGCAUUGCACUUCGGUCUUUGUUGGAGUAGGUUGGUAGUUCGCUUUCGCUGAAUGGUGUGUCUGGUUGUCAGAGUUUGAUCUUGCACGACCCGUCUUGAAACACGGACCAAGGAGUCUAAAUUGUGCGCGAGCCAUUGGAUGUUUAUCUCCAUAGGCGAAACGAAUGUAAUGUGGUUUGAUGGCAUUAGCCCGCAAAUCGAAUGAGUUAUGGGCACGCUCAUUUCUCAAUAUGAGUGCACAGAUUAGUACCCGAAAGAUGGUGAACUAUGCUUGAGCAGGAUGAAGCCAGAGGAAACUCUGGUGGAAGUCCGAAGCGGUUCUGACGUGCAAAUCGAUCGUCAGACUUGAGUAUAGGGGCGAAAGACUAAUCGAACCAUC
rnacentral:rRNA from 1 species